AUGGGAUGCGGUGGAUUCGGGUCCAGGUUAGCAUGGGGAUGUUCCCCGGUCGACGUGCCACAGGGACAUGUGCCUUGCUGCUUGCAGCAGGCCUGUUCAUCGACUCAGAAAGCCAUUAUGGCGAUGGUGUUUCCCUGGAUUGGGCUAUGGUGGAGAUUGUGCUUCUUCUCCGGCGAGCGCCUCGGCGGCGUUGGAUAUUGGCUGCAAUUGUUAGCUUCAGUGUGUGCAGGGAUCCUUAUGGACCUUCUUGUAUUUUUCCAUGUCUUGGCAUCCUCUCUGCAUGGUUUUCAGGACGUCUGUCAACUCCUAGUUUCUCUAGAUGUUGCCGCGUGUGUUUGUACAUGUACUUUGAUUGUUGAUUAA
rnacentral:rRNA from 1 species